CCUACGGGAGGCAGCAGUGAGGAAUAUUGGACAAUGGGCGCAAGCCUGAUCCAGCCAUGCCGCGUGCAGGAUGAAGCAUCUAUGGUGUGUAAACUGCUUUUAUACAGGAAGAAACCUCCCGACGUGUCGGGAAUUGACGGUACUGUAAGAAUAAGGAUCGGCUAACUCCGUGCCAGCAGCCGCGGUAAUACGGAGGAUCCAAGCGUUAUCCGGAAUCAUUGGGUUUAAAGGGUCCGUAGGCGGGCCAGUAAGUCAGUGGUGAAAUCUCUCCGCUCAACGGGGAAAUGGCCAUUGAUACUGCUGGUCUUGAAUUAUUAGGAAGUAACUAGAAUAUGUAGUGUAGCGGUGAAAUGCUUAGAGAUUACAUGGAAUACCAAUUGCGAAGGCAGGUUACUACUAAUGGAUUGACGCUGAUGGACGAAAGCGUGGGUAGCGAACAGGAUUAGAUACCCUGGUAGUCCACGCCGUAAACGAUGGAUACUAGCUGUUGGGGGCAACUUCAGUGGCUAAGCGAAAGUGAUAAGUAUCCACCUGGGGAGUACGUUCGCAAGAAUGAAACUCAAAGGAAUUGACGG
rnacentral:rRNA from 1 species